GGGGGUAUAGUAUAAUGGUAAUACGACUGGGUUGCAUUUAGUCAAUUUAGGUUCGAUUCCUAAUAUCUCCA